UAAAAUGGAGAUAAUUUAUUAUCUUGACCCAUUGGCGAAAGACAUUAAUAUGAGGCAAGAUUUGAAGAAGUUGUUUGACAUGGUUAUACAAACCUACCGAGCUCAAAGAGGGUCUAUGGUUUCAAAGUCUAAGUUAAGCAAUAUCAAAUGGACACCAAUUAAGUGUCCAAAACAAUCCAAC